CCCUAAAACAACACAAGAGGCAGCGCCUCUUCUCUCUUCCCUCUCUCUUUUGAUAACGUUACUCUCUCCCUCUGCUGCUUUUUCAUCGUGAAAACCAAACAAAAUUCCAACUUCGAUUCCUCCCUUUUGAAGGACAACAACAACUAUGGCCUCUCUCUCUCGGCUCUCACUCGGUUUUUUUUCCGAUGAACAACAAGGAGGCUAUCUCCCUUGAUGCUCAUCUCUCUUGCUGCGAAUCACAACAACAACAAGAAACUCUUGGACUCGCGGUCUCUCUCUUCGCGAAGAACAACGAAAAAGAUAAACCUCUUCUCUGUUUUGGCUUACGGCGAACAAGCAACAACAACUUCUGGCUUCUUUUGAUCGAAGACAAACUCAAGAAACUAACAACAACAAUUAUGAGUGAUAAAGAAUGAAAACUACGGCGAGGAGAUUUUCGCCGGAUUAUUCGUCGAGGUACAACAAUGGUUAAUGGAAAUAUUGAGAGUGAAAGCAAAGAGGCUUACCUGCGGCGAAGAUUUUGAGGAUUCAUCUAUGGAGGCUCGAAGAUGGGAGCCAUCUUGAAGGCUGUUGGCAAGCAAACAAGCAAGGUAUGCAAGAUUCUCUUCUCCUUCUCUUUUCUGAAUUUUUCUGUAACUUAGAAGUUACCUACUGCUGGCUCUUUUCUCCCCUGUUUUUUCUGCCCGUUUUUAUUUGUGUGCCUCUCUUCUAUAUAUAGAGGAAAGGAUAAGGGACAUCUUUGGUCAUUUUGGCAACUAAGCUUAGUCUUUAAGCUCACUUAGUUGUUAAGUUGUAAUCAUUACAAAGAAUAUAAUCAUUGCAAAAAUUCCUUGAAUGCUAAGUUUGCUUAAUAACCAAGUCCCACAAGAAAAGGCACAUGGGAUAUAUAUUAUGCACAUGGGAUAGAAUAUAUUCUUCACAACUCUUGCAAGUGAAAGUUCCACGACAUGUCUUGUUCUCAUGUCAUGAAAUAUGUAGCAUCUAAGUAUAGUAGUUAUGAAAUAAUAUAUAUCCCUUUGAAUUUCUUUGACUUUUGACUUUUUGACUUUGAUUUUGGGCUUUUGGGCCCUCUUGAAUUAUUUUUGUUAGACUUUUGCUAAUUCCACCCUUUUUAUUUCUUUUUCAUGUGACAUGAGUCUUUGAAGAAACUUGGACUUGAAGAAUGGAAGCUUGAAGAUUGAAGAAUGAAUUCAAGAAAAAAUUGUAUUUUUGCUUGUUGUAAUUCCAAUUCAUUCCACCUUAGAAUUGUAUGAAUUUGGACUUUGUAUUCUUGAAAGUGAAUGAAACUUUGAAU